CAUGGAUAUUUGAAAAUCGUACAAUUGGUCUUGGCAAGAUAUUAAUAUAAAAACUGUAAAAACCGCUGAAGUUCAUGAGGACGUUUUUGGGCACAUUUUUGCAAAACAAUAUGAAUUCAUUCACUGACAUGACCGUCAGAAUUGACAAACGUCAAAAUUCAAGGCGUGGGAAAUAUCUCCGAAAACAUCCGAUUGCUCCCAAACCAGUGCGGUAAAAUCCCGGAAAUAUCUGAAGUGGCUCGGAUCCGUGGGAAACGAAACUGACGUGGUAAAGUGACGCUUCCCGCGCGCUAGAUUUGUGUGUAAUUAGGAUCUCAUUGGAAUGACAACAUAUAAUCUAAUAAAUGAAUAUGCACCCCAACCAAAGACGAUAUUUCUACGACCGCAACCGACUUUGGCAUAUGAUCGGAACAUAAAUAAACUGCAAAACCUAGUCUAGUUACCUGGCAAAUACAGUACAUGGUUAUGGUACAGAACUAUAAAAAACCAAUGAAUCGUUUUGUUUACAAAUGGCGAUUUCAUUUAAUUAGUAACAAGGAGCAGAAAUCUUACAUGGUUAUUAGGUUAGACGGCAAACAAGUAAAGUUUCAUAGCUGCACAUUUUACACCUCAUCCAAUGUAAUU